CCUACGGGACGCAGCAGUGGGGGAUAUUGCACAAUGGGGGAAACCCUGAUGCAGCGACGCCGCGUGGGCGAAGAAGUAUUUCGGUAUGUAAAGCCCUAUCAGCAGGGAAGAAGAAAUGACGGUACCUGAAGAAAAAGCAUCGGCUAACUCCGUGCCAGCAGCCGCGGUAAUACGGAGGAUGCGAGCGUUAUCCGGAUUUAUUGGGUUUAAAGGGUGCGUAGGCGGAAUGCCAAGUCAGCGGUAAAAUCGCGGGGCUCAACCUCGCUCCGCCGUUGAAACUGGCGUUCUUGAGUGGGCGAGAAGUA
rnacentral:rRNA from 1 species